UUUGUGCGAGUGACAGCCAAAAGCGUUUAACGCUGUGGCUGAUGUGGGAGAUUGCAUUGGAUGGAUCACAUAUAGAGGGAUUUUAUAGCCAUGAGCCACUAAUGAUUAAUGUGUGCCAUCUUUUCUUUAUUCUUUCUUUUUUUUUCAUUCUAGAAGCUUUUGUGACAUUUUAUUGCAUCAUGUAUUCAUGUGUAUCUAAUCUUCUGUUGUUACUGCUAGAAAGUAUGAAGUAUAUAGUUAUACCUACCUGUUACAUCCUUACUUAAAUUAUGAAAUGAAAUGGGAAAGAAGAAACACGGUUAUAAUAUCACAUAAUAGAAAAGAAAAAAAAUUAGGAAUAAAAAUUUUAUAUAUGUGUUUUUAUCAC
rnacentral:lncRNA from 1 species